rnacentral:lncRNA from 1 species
GGUGACUCAAGGGUAACCAUUGCCUAAAUUGGAUGUGAAAGGCCCAGCUCCCGGGCUGGAAAUCGAUGCAUUCACACUUUCUCUAUUGCUCCCUCAAGGUGGGCUGUGCUAUGUAUGAACUUUCCUAGAAGAGAAGCUGGAGUGUGACCAUGACAUCUGCCAGUGGAAGUGGAGACAGUCACAUCCUCAUUAAGAGGGGGCUCAAACUUCAGUGUGCGUGAGAAUUACUCAGACAGCUUAUUCGGUCACAGAUGGCUGAUUCAGUAGGGCUGAACCAGACUCAGAACACCUGGUCUAUAGGAACCACAGGAGGUUAGAGAAGGGAAGAACCAGCACAGACUCUGGUGGUGGAGAAGUUCAGGUGUGUGUAACAACACCCCUCCUUCCUGCCAUCUGAUCCUACCGAUUCAUCAAGGGCUCAAUGGCCUCCUCCGUGUUCCCGCUUUUCAAAGUGUGAGUCAGCCUCUCUAACUCUGGAUUACUGUCUAAUUUGAUCUGGUCAGUUCUGAAGAUAUUAGGUAAUAUUAGACCCAUCUCCGGC